GCCGAUGUUGCCUAAUGGUCUAUGGCGUCGCUUUCCUACAAUGUUAGGCGAAGGUUGUGGGUUCGAGUCCCAUCAUCGGUU